UUAAUUGAAGCCAAAAAGAGGCAAAUUAUUGUUAAUAAUUUAAAUGAAAUUAUUUCCAAUUAAU
rnacentral:tRNA from 1 species